ACGCUAGCUACAGGCUUAACACAUGCAAGUCGAGGGGAAACGGCAUUAAGUGCUUGCACUUUUUGGACGUCGACCGGCGCACGGGUGAGUAACGCGUAUCCAACCUUCCCAUGACUAAGGGAUAACCUGCCGAAAGGCAGACUAAUACCUUAUGGUCUUCACUGACGGCAUCAGAUGUGAAGUAAAGAUUUAUCGGUUAUGGAUGGGGAUGCGUCUGAUUAGUUAGUUGGCGGGGUAACGGCCCACCAAGGCAACGAUCAGUAGGGGUUCUGAGAGGAAGGUCCCCCACAUUGGAACUGAGACACGGUCCAAACUCCUACGGGAGGCAGCAGUGAGGAAUAUUGGUCAAUGGGCGAGAGCCUGAACCAGCCAAGUAGCGUGCAGGAUGACGGCCCUAUGGGUUGUAAACUGCUUUUGUAUGGGGAUAAAGUCAAUCACGUGUGAUUGUUUGCAGGUACCAUACGAAUAAGGACCGGCUAAUUCCGUGCCAGCAGCCGCGGUAAUACGGAAGGUCCGGGCGUUAUCCGGAUUUAUUGGGUUUAAAGGGAGCGUAGGCUGGAGAUUAAGUGUGUUGUGAAAUGUAGACGCUCAACGUCUGACUUGCAGCGCAUACUGGUUUCCUUGAGUAUGCACAACGUUGGCGGAAUUCGUCGUGUAGCGGUGAAAUGCUUAGAUAUGACGAAGAACUCCGAUUGCGAAGGCAGCUGACGGGAGCGCAACUGACGCUGAAGCUCGAAGGUGCGGGUAUCGAACAGGAUUAGAUACCCUGGUAGUCCGCACAGUAAACGAUGGAUGCCCGCUGUUGGUACGUGGUAUCAGCGGCUAAGCGAAAGCAUUAAGCAUCCCACCUGGGGAGUACGCCGGCAACGGUGAAACUCAAAGGAAUUGACGGGGGCCCGCACAAGCGGAGGAACAUGUGG
rnacentral:rRNA from 1 species